GAUGAACGCUGGCGGCGUGCUUAACACAUGCAAGUCGAACGGAAAGGCUCCUGCUUGCAGGGGUACUCGAGUGGCGAACGGGUGAGUAACACGUGGGUGAUCUGCCCUGCACUUCGGGAUAGGCCUGGGAAACUGGGUCUAAUACCGGAUAGGACGAUGGUUUGGAUGCCAUUGUGGAAAGUUUUUUCGGUGUGGGAUGAGCUCGCGGCCUAUCAGCUUGUUGGUGGGGUAAUGGCCUACCAAGGCGUCGACGGGUAGCCGGCCUGAGAGGGUGUACGGCCACAUUGGGACUGAGAUACGGCCCAGACUCCUACGGGAGGCAGCAGUGGGGAAUAUUGCACAAUGGGCGCAAGCCUGAUGCAGCGACGCCGCGUGGGGGAUGACGGCCUUCGGGUUGUAAACUCCUUUCGCUAGGGACGAAGCGCAAGUGACGGUACCUGGAGAAGAAGCACCGGCUAACUACGUG
rnacentral:rRNA from 1 species